UUAAAAAUGAUUUAAGAAAAAAAAAAGGAGGCCUGAUUCCCUUUCACACCGACCUGGAGCGGGAAGUAUGCAAAGGUGUGGAGGUGGAGCCUAGGCUGAGAAAAAAUAUCAAAAGAAAGAACUGCGUGGAAUCUGGCUCGUGACUCUGCUGCGUGCUGCCCUUCCAUUCACAUCACUGAUACCCGCCAGCGUCCGCCCAGCAUCUGCGGUUAGCCAGCCCGCCGUCUCCCCAGGACCUCGCGUGCCUGUGUCCAGGAAGAGUGCUGGUCCUGUGGCGGUGCAGGUGUCUGCAUGGACGCCUGGGAACUGAGAGCGCAGGCUGUGUAAAGGACUCUCAGUGAGGCCUCCCGUGACUGCUUGAGUGGUAGGAGCUGCAGCCGGCGCCCUGGUUACCCCAGGACAGACGGGGACACUGCUGAGCAGGAGGCCACAGUUGCCUCCUCCAAGUGUGCAGGGACCUUUCUCCUCUCAGCUGGUAAGAAAGCAUCUACCCCAUGGUCAGUGUGAGGACUUUCUGUCUGGAGGAGAAACACUAGCUGCCCGGGGGUGUGGGGCUUCAUGGCAACCCUACUCCCUUGAUCUAACAGGAAACACGACCUUGGAGGAAGAGGAGGCCCAGAGGUCAGAAGCUGAAAACAGACACCACAGCCAGCUCUUCACAAACAAGAGGCUUUAUUUUUAUACUGUAUUCCACCCCACAAAAAGUAGGGGGAGCAUUUG